rnacentral:other from 1 species
GGCUGCCUGAAUCGCCUCGGUUGGGAUAGUUUUUUCCCUACAUGAUUGAACCCGGGAUUCACCUCUGGCCGUAGCGUGCACGCCCGCAUGUCGGGAAGCCCAUAGCGGCUACAUUUGUGAAGCCCACCUACUUUGGUAGGGGUUCAAACAUCCUGACCACGAUCGGGCGGGGGUUGGGCCGACC